rnacentral:tRNA from 1 species
AAAUAGAGAAGUAACAAUACAAUUAGUUUCGACCUAAUAAUUAAGAAUAAAAAUUCUUCCUAUUUA